AAGCGCCGGUAAGGUGAUAUGAACCGUUAUAACCGGCGAUACCCGAAUGGGGAAACCCAGUGUGAUUCGUCACACUAUCAUUAACUGAAUCCAUAGGUUAAUGAGGCGAACCGGGGGAACUGAAACAUCUAAGUACCCCGAGGAAAAGAAAUCAACCGAGAUUCCCCCAGUAGCGGCGAGCGAACGGGGAGGAGCCCAGAGCCUGAAUCAGCAUGUGUGUUAGUGGAAGCGUCUGGAAAGGCGCGCGAUACAGGGUGACAGCCCCGUACACAAAAGCGCAUGUGCUGUGAGCUCGAUGAGUAGGGCGGGACACGUGGUAUCCUGUCUGAAUAUGGGGGGACCAUCCUCCAAGGCUAAAUACUCCUGACUGACCGAUAGUGAACCAGUACCGUGAGGGAAAGGCGAAAAGAACCCCGGCGAGGGGAGUGAAAAAGAACCUGAAACCGUGUACGUACAAGCAGUGGGAGCACCCUUCGGGGUGUGACUGCGUACCUUUUGUAUAAUGGGUCAGCGACUUAUAUUCUG
rnacentral:rRNA from 1 species